rnacentral:tRNA from 1 species
CGGGGCGUAGCGCAGCCUGGUAGCGCAUCUGCUUUGGGAGCAGAGGGUCGGAGGUUCAAAUCCUCUCGCCCCGACCA